GCGUGCGCAGGCGGUUGUGCAAGUCUGAUGUCGAAAGCCCCCGGGCUUAACCUGGGAACGGCAUUGGAGACUGCACGACUAGAGUGCGUCAGAGGGGGGUAGAAUUCCACGUGUAGCAGUGAAAUGCGUAGAGAUGUGGAGGAAUACCGAUGGCGAAGGCAGCCCCCUCGGGAUGACACUGACGCUCAUGCACGAAAGCGUGGGGAGCAAACAGGAUUAGAUACCCGAGU
rnacentral:rRNA from 1 species